GAUGAACGCUAGCGGCAGGCCUAAUACAUGCAAGUCGAACGGUGUCUUCGGACAUAGUGGCGCACGGGUGCGUAACACGUAUGCAACCUACCUUACAUUGGGGGAUAACCUUUCGAAAGGGAGAUUAAUACCGCAUAAGACAGUAGCUGGGCAUCCAGCAGCUGUUAAAGAUUUAUCGAUGUAAGCUGGGCAUGCGUCCAAUUAGCUAGUUGGUGAGGUGACGGCUCACCAAGGCAAUGAUUGGUAGGGGAACUGAGAGGUCAAUCCCCCACACUGGCACUGAGAUACGGGCCAGACUCCUACGGGAGGCAGCAGUAGGGAAUAUUGGGCAAUGGACGCAAGUCUGACCCAGCCAUGCCGCGUGCAGGAUGAAGGCGUUAUGCGUUGUAAACUGCUUUUAUACAGGAAGAAACGACUCUUGCGAGAGGCAUUGACGGUACUGUAUGAAUAAGCACCGGCUAACUCCGUGCCAGCCGCCGCAGUAAUAC
rnacentral:rRNA from 1 species